rnacentral:ncRNA from 2 species
UCUUUCCUUCGGGGUACGGUGAAAUUCCGAACCGGCGGUGAUCAUCGGCGACAGCUUUGCUACCGUUCAUGCGGUGCAUGUCUCCGGCGUCAGUCCGUGACCCGAAGCUUCUGAAUUACUUUCGCGGCGAACGCAUAGAAGAGGCUUCGGUGGACCUGGUGUAAAUCCGGGACCGACAGUACAGUCUGGAUGGGAGAAGGGAACG